AUGAACGCUAGCUACAGGCUUAACACAUGCCAGUCGAGGGGAAACGACAUCGAAAGCUUGCUUUUGAUGGGCGUCGACCGGCGCACGGGUGAGUAACGCGUAUCCAACCUGCCCAUCACUUGGGAAUAACCUUGCGAAAGUAAGACUAAUACCCAAUGAUAUCCCACGAAGGCAUCGGAAUGGGAUUAAAGAUUUAUCGGUGAUGGAUGGGGAUGCGUCUGAUUAGCUUGUUGGCGGGGUAACGGCCCACCAAGGCAACGAUCAGUAGGGGUUCUGAGAGGAAGGUCCCCCACAUUGGAACUGAGACACGGUCCAAACUCCUACGGGAGGAAGCAGUGAGGAAUAUUGGUCAAUGGGCGAGAGCCUGAACCAGCCAAGUAGCGUGCAGGAAGACGGCCCUAUGGGUUGUAAACUGCUUUUAUAAGGGAAUAAAGUGGGUCACGUGUGACUUUUUGCAUGUACCUUAUGAAUAAGGACCGGCUAAUUCCGUG
rnacentral:rRNA from 1 species